UGUGUUGCAUUUACUUGAUCUUCAGACUUCAACUGCUGCCAUAAACCCAUUUGUUGUUGAAUCUUUUAGAGAGAAGGUGACGAAUGGGAAUCUUUAGUUGCUAAAUGGGCAGGAAAUGCAGGAUUCCAAAAGGGAAAUGGUGGUUGCAAGGUGCAAACGAAAGCGCGAUCCGCUCUGAAGUCCGUGUCAGGCGGGGAGUUUGAAUGGGGCGGUCCAUCUGUCAAAGAGUAGGGCAGGUGUCCCAAGGUGUGCUCAGCGAGGACGGGAACCUUGGGUAGAGCAAAAGGGCAAAAGCUCUCUUGAUUUUGAUUUUCAGUAUGAAUACAGGCCGGGAAAGCGUGGCCUAUCGAUCCUUGUGAGCUUGCGAGUUUCAAGCAAGAGGUGCCAGAAAAGUUACCUCAGGGAUAUCUGGCUUGUGGCAGCCAAGCGUUCAUAGAGACGUUGCUUUUUGAUCCUUCGAUGUCGGCUCUUCUUAUCAUUGGAAGCAGAAUUCACCAAGCGUUUGAUGGUUCACCCACUAAUAGGGAACGUAAACUGGGUUUAGACCGUCGUGAGAGCAGGAUAG
rnacentral:ncRNA from 1 species